rnacentral:rRNA from 1 species
UGGGGAAUAUUGGACAAUGGGCGCAAGCCUGAUCCAGCCAUGCCGCGUGUGUGAAGAAGGCCUUUUGGUUGUAAAGCACUUUAAGCGAGGAGGAGGCUACGUGGAUUAAUACUCUAGGAUAGUGGACGUUACUCGCAGAAUAAGCACCGGCUAACUCUGUGCCAGCAGCCGCGGUAAUACAGAGGGUGCGAGCGUUAAUCGGAUUUACUGGGCGUAAAGCGUGCGUAGGCGGCUUCUUAAGUCGGAUGUGAAAUCCCUGAGCUUAACUUAGGAAUUGCAUUCGAUACUGGUAAGCUAGAGUAUGGGAGAGGAUGGUAGAAUUCCAGGUGUAGCGGUGAAAUGCGUAGAGAUCUGGAGGAAUACCGAUGGCGAAGGCAGCCAUCUGGCCUAAUACUGACGCUGAGGUACGAAAGCAUGGGGAGCAAACAGG